rnacentral:rRNA from 1 species
UGCAGUCGAGCGGAUGACGGGAGCUUGCUCCUUGAUUCAGCGGCGGACGGGUGAGUAAUGCCUAGGAAUCUGCCUGGUAGUGGGGGACAACGUUUCGAAAGGAACGCUAAUACCGCAUACGUCCUACGGGAGAAAGCAGGGGACCUUCGGGCCUUGCGCUAUCAGAUGAGCCUAGGUCGGAUUAGCUAGUUGGUGGGGUAAUGGCUCACCAAGGCGACGAUCCGUAACUGGUCUGAGAGGAUGAUCAGUCACACUGGAACUGAGACACGGUCCAGACUCCUACGGGAGGCAGCAGUGGGGAAUAUUGGACAAUGGGCGAAAGCCUGAUCCAGCCAUGCCGCGUGUGUGAAGAAGGUCUUCGGAUUGUAAAGCACUUUAAGUUGGGAGGAAGGGCAGUAAGUUAAUACCUUGCUGUUUUGACGUUACCGACAGAAUAAGCACCGGCUAACUCUGUGCCAGCAGCCGCGGUAAUACAGAGGGUGCAAGCGUUAAUCGGAAUUACUGGGCGUAAAGCGCGCGUAGGUGGUUUGUUAAGUUGGAUGUGAAAGCCCCGGGCUCAACCUGGGAACUGCAUCCAAAACUGGCAAGCUAGAGUACGGUAGAGGGUGGUGGAAUUU